rnacentral:tRNA from 1 species
GCGGAUAUAGCUCACGUUGGUAGAGCGCGAGUCUUCCAAACUCGAGGCCGCGGGUUCGAUCCCCGCUAUCCGCU